AAGUCGUAACAAGGUUUCCGUAGGUGAACCUGCGGAAGGAUCAUUAUUGAAUACGUUGGGUUCUGAUGCUGGCUCUUCACUGAGCAUGUGCUCGAUCCAUAACUAUUUAUCUUCUCUUGUGCACCUUUUGUAGUCUUUCAGAGCAAGUGAUAACUCUCGCAGCAAUGCGGUUUGGGGGACUUGGGCGUGAGCCCUUCCCCUUCGUUUGCUUCUUUGGAGGGCUAUGUUUUCAUAUACACUAUAAAGUUACAGAAUGUCUUUUAAAGAUUGUGCUAGUCGCAGUCAUUAAACCUAUACAACUUUCAGCAACGGAUCUCUUGGCUCUCCCAUCGAUGAAGAACGCAGCGAAAUGCGAUAAGUAAUGUGAAUUGCAGAAUUCAGUGAAUCAUCGAAUCUUUGAACGCACCUUGCGCCCUUUGGUAUUCCGAAGGGCAUGCCUGUUUGAGUGUCAUUAAAUUCUCAACCCAGAAAGCUUUUACGAGCUCUUUUGUGGCUUGGAUGUGGGGGUUUUUGCUGGCUUCCUUCAGUGGAUGGUCUGCUCCCCUUAAAUGCAUUAGUGGGAUCUCUUGUGGACCGUCACUUGGUGUGAUAAUUAUCUAUGCCAGUUGACUUUGAAGCAAAACUUAUGGGAACCCGCUCAUAACCGUCUUCGGACAACUUAUUGACAUUUUGACCUCAAAUCAGGUAGGACUACCCGCUGAACUUAA
rnacentral:rRNA from 1 species